ensembl:lncRNA
UAUAUAUAUAUAUAUAUAUAUAUAGAGAGAGAGAGAGAGAGAGAGACCUCCAUGUGUCUGGCCAAAGACCCGGAUCAGAGGAGCUGUAGACAAAAUAAAAAGCUGAAGCAGGAAAAAAAAACAACAACAACACAGAACACAUCUAAUAAGAGAAUUAGUCCUGGAACGAAUUAUCAACAAGUCAGGCGAACAUUUUCCAUAAACAAGACAUAAUAAGGCUAAUAAUUAGUAGAUUGAGGUUUAGUAAAGUACCAAAGCCCCCCAGCAUCAUCACUUCUGUGUCCAACUCCAACAACUCCACUGUUAAAGACUGAGAACGUUUCCCUCUGGACAUCUACCACUCCUUCUCCUGGCUCUCAUAUGAGAGCGGUUGAGUUCUAGCACACUAGAAGCAAAAGAGAUGGCGAGCGACAGUGAAGGAGGGACGGAGAAGAAAAUGUAAGCUCCAACAACACACACACACACAUGGGGAGUGUAUUCACUCACACAUUACAGUACUGACGAUGUCGAGAGAACACGCGUGUCUUCCCUGAUGGUGUGUACAUGACCGGCUGCGUAAACAAAUCAAAGAGCGUGUGAAUGAAACGUGAUGGCGUAGGGACGGACAGUAAGGGCGUGGGAUGGGUUUCUGCGGGAUUGUAAAAACGCCGACGUUCAUCGCUCCAGUACGCGUUCGAUACGCAACGUAUUCGGGUUUGCUCUUUUCCAAAACGCAGACCGUGCCAAGGCAGGCUUUCACACCCACAGAUCAAUAAACACACCCUCAUGACCACACGCAGAUGAGGAGCAGACUCUGCUUCAUCAAAAAUAAAUAAAUAAAUAAAUAAAAUGGCUGAGUAUGCACCGAACUUGUUUUGCAGAUGUUCUGCAAUAUUAAAGGGAUGAAAACCGUCGAUCUUUAAUAAACAAAAGAUUGAACUCGGUGACGAUUUGCUUUAGUGUAAGAGGAAUAAAACACUCCGGGGGUGUGCUGGUAUAGGGAAAUAUCCACCUUUGUGGUUCGUGGUAACGGUAAUGCUGUUCCAUCACACCCAACCUCUCUAUACCUUUCCGUAAAGUGCUUUAUUCCUCUUAUACUACAGCAGUUUGGCAACAGUGAUGUUUUUAAAGGUCCUAAGUCCGAGUUUGAUGAGACCUGACCCAUCAGUGGUGCAUUCCCAACCCUUUAGGCUUAUAAACAGAUGAUCGAGCGCUCACAGGCUACACCGGAGUCCUGCGAUGAUCGUUAUAACCGCUGUAGAGCGUCCGCUACUGAGGCGAGAAACAAUGCUGCUGGGAAACUGAAGAAAACAGAUGUGGAGGGAAAAUCUAUCCUGCGCCAUGUACUCUAUAGACUUGUGGCUUUGUAUACUGUAUAUCCUGCACUUACACUCUCACCUUAGAUUACCUUAACAUGCACUGUUCUGUGUAUUUAUUUUUCUGUGUACAGUGCUGUGAAAAAGUAUUUGCCCCAUCCUGAUUUCUAGACGCAACCAGGCCUGAUUACUGCAAACCCUGUUCAAUCACAUCUACACUUACAUAGAACUUUUUCAGCAGCAGGAAGUUGGGUAAAAGGUCUUACGGAGUAACGCACUACGCCAAAGAAAUUCCAGAAAUGAUGAGGCAGAAGCGAGAGCCGUCAUCUCCAAAUGGAGAAACUCGGCACAGUAGUGAACCUUCCUAGAAGUGUCCGACCUUCCAAAACUCCUCCAAGAGCACGGCGACGACUCAUCCAGGAAGUCCCAAAAGAGCCAAGGACAAUAUCAAAGGACCUACAGGCCUCUCUUGCGUCAAUAAAGGUCACUGUUCAUGAC